GCAUUUGAAGCUCAACCGCAACGAGCGCCGCCCUUGUAAGUCGGAGGCUGGAGGUUCGAAUCCCCCCAAAUGCU
rnacentral:tRNA from 1 species